UACCUGUUUGAAGGAUAGGUCACACUGCUUUAGACAGCCAGACAGAAGGGUACAGUUUUUUUUCUGACCGAUAGCCGACCCUCGUUAACCGAUCAUUAACCGUUAAACGACAAGCAGUCAAUGGAGUCCCAGUUCACCCGUCCUGGUGGCUCGGACAUACUUUCCGCAUUCCGUGGACAGAUGAUUAGGACUUGUAGCGGUUGCUCUGCCAUGUUGUUCCGUGCAUUGUCGUGGGCACAUGCAGCCACUUUCCUGGAACAAGAACAGCUGCACAGCUGACAGAAGUCCACAGCGGUCGGCGGCGUGAGCCUGUCUCCACCACAUCCACAAGGUUGUCAGCUGACGGCCGAUUUAACCCGCUAGUCCACAUCGGUAAAAUGGCAUGUGUCAAGUAGCUCUUCGCUGUGAGUGCCAUCCAGCAGAGAGCCACGAGCAGAAAAAAAGAGCAGCU